UCAUGCAUCCCUAGCAAUUGUAAUCAAUUAAAUUCAUUGUAUUCUAACAUAUUCUAACCCCAAACAACACUAGAUAUGUCAUUUAGUGGUUCAACGCAAUGUUUUCGAGUACUUAGCCCAUUUGGUACCCAAUUUCAACAAGUCUUUCUCUAUACUUCAGAACACUCUUCACGCAUCUCUAGAACUUGUAAUCAAUCAAAUUCAUUGUAUUCUAACAUAUUCUAACCCCAAACAACACUAGAUAAUUCAUUUACUUGUUCAACGCAAUGUUUCCGAGUUCUUAGCCCAUUUGGGACCCAAUUUGAACAAGUCUUUCUCCAUACUUGAAAACACUCUUCAUGCAUAUCUACCACUUGUAAUCAAUCAAAUUUAUAGUUUUCUAACAUAUUCUAACCCCAAACAACACUAGAUAAGUCAUUUAGUGGUUCAACGCAAUGUUUCCGAGUUCUUAGCCCAUUUGGGACCAAAUUUUAACAAGUCUUUCUACACAUUUCUAAACACUCUUCAUGCAUCUCUAGCACAUGUAAUCAACCAAAGUUAUUGUAUUCUAACAUAUUCUAACCCCAAAUAACACUAGAUAACUAAUUUAGUUGUUCAACGCAAUGUUUUCGAAUUCUUAGCCUAUUUGGGACCCAAUUUCAACAAGUCUAUUUCCAUACUUCAAAACACUCUUCAUGCAUCUCUAGCACUUGUAAUCAAUCAAAUUCAUUGUAUUCUAACAUUUAUAACCCCAAACAACACUAGAUAUGUCAUUUAGUGGUUCAACGCAAUGUUUUCGAGUUCUUAGCCCAUUUGGGACCAAAUUUCAACACGUCUUUCUCCAUACUUAAAAACACUCUUCACGCAUCUCUAGCACUUGUAAUCAAUCAAAUUAAUUGUAUUCUAAUAUAUUCUAACCCCAAACAACAUCUAGAUAAUUCAUUUACUUGCUCAACGCAAUGUUUCCGAGUUCUUAGCACAUUUCGGACCCAAUUUGAACAAGUCUUUCUCCAUACUUGAAAACACUCUUCAUGCAUCUCUAGCACUUGUAGUCAAUCAAAUUUAUAGUUUUAUAACAUAUUCUAACCGCAUACAACACUAGAUAAGUCAUUUAGUGGUUCAACGCAAUGUUUCCGAGUUCUUAGCCCAUUUGGGACCCAAUUUCAACAAGUUUUUCUACACAUUUCUAAACACUCUUCAUGCAUCU
rnacentral:lncRNA from 1 species